rnacentral:rRNA from 1 species
GAUGAACGCUGGCGGCGUGCCUAAUACAUGCAAGUCGAGCGAACGGACGAGAAGCUUGCUUUUCUGAUGUUAGCGGCGGACGGGUGAGUAACACGUGGAUAACCUACCUAUAAGACUGGGAUAACUUCGGGAAACCGGAGCUAAUACCGGAUAAUAUUUUGAACCGCAUGGUUCAAAAGUGAAAGACGGUCUUGCUGUCACUUAUAGAUGGAUCCGCGCUGCAUUAGCUAGUUGGGAAGGUAACGGCUUACCAAGGCAACGAUGCAUAGCCGACCUGAGAGGGUGAUCGGCCACACUGGAACUGAGACACGGUCCAGACUCCUACGGGAGGCAGCAGUAGGGAAUCUUCCGCAGUGGGAGAAAGCAUGACGGAGCAACGCCGCGUGAGUGAUGAAGGUCUUCGGAUCGUAAAACUCUGUUAUUAGGGAAGAACAUAUGUGUAAGUAUCUGUGCACAUCUUGACGGUACCUAAUCAGAAAGCCACGGCUAACUACGUG